CCACAGGCACAAAUCACCCUGCAUAUCACCCUGCAACUCACAACUGGCAACCCACUGAAGCUAAGCAGGUGUGAGCCUGGUCAGUACCUGGAUGGGAGACCUCCUGGGAAAGACUAAGGUUGCUGCUGGA
ensembl:rRNA 5S_rRNA 5S ribosomal RNA